UACGGAGGGGGCUAGCGUUGUUCGGAAUUACUGGGCGUAAAGCGCACGUAGGCGGCUUUGUAAGUUAGAGGUGAAAGCCCGGGGCUCAACUCCGGAAUUGCCUUUAAGACUGCAUCGCUAGAAUUGUGGAGAGGUAAGUGGAAUUCCGAGUGUAGAGGUGAAAUUCGUAGAUAUUCGGAAGAAACACCAGUUGGCGAAGGCGACUUACUGGACACAUAUUGACGCUGAGGUGGCGAAAAGCGUGGGGAGCCAAACGGG
rnacentral:rRNA from 1 species